rnacentral:ncRNA from 2 species
CGAUGAGGUAGAGGUCGCAACUUUUAUAAGUAAUUCGGACGAGAUACAGAGAAUAUUGUUGACUCCGUUUGAAAGGAAAAGUUGCCGAAGUUCAUUCCAUAUUCUCGUAUGAAUGGGCUGGGGCUGUUUCCGAAUAGGGACAGAACUGUCACAUUUACUACGCCAAGUAAAUGUGUUGAGCUAUCUUCGGA